rnacentral:rRNA from 1 species
UACAGAGGGUGCGAGCGUUGUUCGGAAUUAUUGGGCGUAAAGGGUGCGUAGGUGGUUGCGUAAGUUAGGUGUGAAAGUCCCGGGCUUAACCUGGGGAUUGCGCCUAAUACUGUGUAGCUAGAGUACUGUAGAGGAAGGUGGAAUUUCCGGUGUAGCGGUGAAAUGCGUAGAUAUCGGAAGGAACAUCGGUGGCGAAGGCGACUUUCUGGACAGAUACUGACACUGAGGCACGAAAGCAUGGGGAGCAAACAGG